GGGGAAUAUUGCACAAUGGAGGAAACUCUGAUGCAGCGAUGCCGCGUGAGGGAAGAAGGUUUUAGGAUUGUAAACCUCUGUCUUCAGGGACGAAAAAAGGACGGUACCUGAGGAGGAAGCUCCGGCUAACUACGUGCCAGCAGCCGCGGUAAUACGUAGGGAGCGAGCGUUGUCCGGAAUUACUGGGUGUAAAGGGAGCGUAGGCGGGAUCGCAAGUCAGAUGUGAAAACUAUGGGCUUAACCCAUAAACUGCAUUUGAAACUGUGGUUCUUGAGUGAAGUAGAGGUAAGCGGAAUUCCUAGUGUAGCGGUGAAAUGCGUAGAUAUUAGGAGGAACAUCAGUGGCGAAGGCGGCUUACUGGGCUUUAACUGACGCUGAGGCUCGAAAGCGUGGGGAGCAAACAGGAUUAGAUACCCUGGUAGUCCACGCCGUAAACGAUGAUUACUAGGUGUGGGGGGGACUGACCCCUUCCGUGCCGCAGCAAACGCAAUAAGUAAUCCACCUGGGGAGUACGACCGCAAGGUUGAAACUCAAAGGAAUUGACGGGGGCCCGCACAAGCAGUGGAGUAUGUGGAUUAAUUCGAAGCAACGCGAAGAACCUUACCAGGUCUUGACAUCGUAUGCAUAGCUCAGAGAUGAGUGAAAUCUCUUCGGAGACAUAUAGACAGGUGGUGCAUGGUUGUCGUCAGCUCGUGUCGUGAGAUGUUGGGUUAAGUCCCGCAACGAGCGCAACCCUUACUGUUAGUUGCUACGCAAGAGCACUCUAGCAGGACUGCCGUUGACAAAACGGAGGAAGGUGGGGAUGACGUCAAAUCAUCAUGCCCCUUAUGACCUGGGCCUCACACGUACUACAAUGGCUGUAAACAGAGGGAAGCAAAGCCGCGAGGUAGAGCGAACCCCUAAAAGCAGUCUUAGUUCGGAUUGUAGGCUGCAGCCCGCCUACAUGAAGUCGGAAUUGCUAGUAAUCGCAGAUCAGCAUGCUGCGGUGAAUACGUUCCCG
rnacentral:rRNA from 1 species